rnacentral:lncRNA from 1 species
CUGUGGAGAAAGCCACCUCAGGAUGGGGCAGGAAUCCCCUACCCAGAGGGAGCCCCAUACAUGGGCACUCACAGGAAGGGAUGUUCAGCAGCAGGGGUGAGGAGCACAGGACACCCAGACUGGUAAAAGAAGCCAUUGCCCUAAACUCAGUGCUUGCCUUCUCAACUGUGAGGAGGGGGAUUUGAAGAUAUUUCAAUCUUCAUCAAUGCUCUGUGUCAUUUGGGGGUCACAGAGCCCUGCAGAAUGGGGAUGAGUAUGUGGGGUUGAGGUAGUAAACCUGUGUAUGGGGGAUCCAUGUCCAGAUCCUAUGAGUACACUCUUUUUUUUUCAGAAAUGGAGCCCUCAGUACACAAAGUCUUUUCAUCAAAUCUGAUCCAGGGACCCUCACUCUGCGGCUCCUGCACUGGAGGAUUUGGAUCACCCACUAGGACCCUUCAGUUUUUGAGUCACAUGCAGUAACUGGACUACUGUCUUUGAGGAGGACACAUAAAAUGAUGAAACCUGAGAAUUAUACUAUAUAUUGGCAAAUUGGACUUAAACUCACACAUCCUUUGAAGCAAUAAAAUGUGGAGGAUGUUGCAGAACAAAUACUCCUUUCUGGGACCUCUCAGAGAGCUGCUUCACUAAGGACAUCAUCCCCCUAAACCACAGAGAAGAUCGUGCCCCCACAGACACUGCUGGAGCCUACAUGAUUUCACAGAAGCCUUGGAAUUCCUUAGAAAUGAGUGUGUUCCAUUGUAUACAUAAAGGGAGACAUAAUGUGAAGACUGCUAACUCUGGGAAACGAACUAGGAGUGGUAGAAGGGGAGGAGGGCAGGGGGUGGGAGUGAUUGGGUGAAGGGCACUGGAGGUUAUUCUGUAUGUUGGUAAAUAUAUAUAUAAAACAGUGAAAUAUGAGCAAGGCUUAUUGGAAAACAUCUGUGUGCAUCUCAUAACAAAAAUGUACAACACAUUCUAUUUUGAAAUUCUGAUUUUCAUCACAUUAAAAUUGUCUUGGGGUGGUAGAAGGGGAGGAGGGCGGGGGGUGGGAGUGAAUGGGUGAUGGGCACUGGGGGUUAUUCUGUAUGUUAGUAAAUUGAACACCAAUAAAAAAUAAAUUAAAAAAAAUCACUUACCCUAUAGAUAAAAAAAAACAAAAACAAACAAACAAAAAAACCCUUUGCUGCCCCAAAGUAAAAAUGCUAUUACCUACAUGCUGUCCCAUAUGCAGGAAAAAAAGGACACAUGAAAGAAAACACUGGGGAUAUAGAAGAUAACAUGGUGGAUAACAAUGACUGACAAGAAGAGGGGAUAAAAGCUCAUGGACCUAAAGGUAGACUUAGGGAAUUCAGUGGCUUAUGAAAACAGUAAUAUUUUUAUCAUUGGAGUCCCACAAAAUGAAGAGAGAGAAAAUGUUCCAGGUUAUUCGAUCAAAAUAUAGCCAGAAAACUCCCUAAUCAGGAAGGACACAGACCUUAAAAUCCAGGAAGCACACAUACUCCCAUGAAAUUCAACAAAUUUGAUAAUCUCCAAGGCAUUUCAAUAUCAAACUCACAGAAUACGCAGACAAGGAAGGAAUCCUGAAAGCAGCAAGGGAACUGCUGUCCUGAACCUCACAGCCACCAGAAUAGCUGCAUCUGGAUGGUGAUGCUCAGACUCAGGUCCCACAGGGUCAGCACAUCUCCCUCCUCUGGAAAUGAUGAUAAAUAAUCUUCCUCACAGUAGAGUUCCACAAUCUCCCAGUCCCCUGCUCCAUAUGUGAAGGUUCUCCCUCCGUGUGUCUGCUGGGUCUUGUUCACAGAGUCCUAGGAUUGUCCACUGGUUCAUCCUUUC